rnacentral:rRNA from 1 species
UGGGAGAGGGUGAUGGAAUUCCAGGUGUAGCGGUGGAAUGCGUAGAUAUCUGGAAGAACACCAGUUGCGAAGGCGGUCACCUGGCCCAAUACUGACGCUGAGGCUCGAAAGCUAGGGGAGCGAACAGGAUUAGAUACCCUGGUAGUCCUAGCCGUAAACGAUGGAUACUAGUUGCUGGAGGAGUCAAUCCUUUCAGUGACGAAGUUAACGCAUUAAGUAUCCCGCCUGGGGAGUACGCUCGCAAGGGUGAAACUCAAAGGAAUUGACGGGGGCCCGCACAAGCGGUGGAGCAUGUGCUUUAAUUCGAUGCAACGCGAAGAACCUUACCUGGGUUUGACAUGGGAGUGAAAGGAUCCAGAGAUGGAACCCCUUCCGCAAGGAACACUUCACACAGGUGCUGCAUGGUUGUCGUCAGCUCGUGUCGUGAGAUGUUGGGUUAAGUCCCGCAACGAGCGCAACCCCUGCCCUUAGUUGCCAUCAGGUAAAGCUGGGAACUCUAAGGGGACCGCCUGUCGUAAACAGGAGGAAGGUGGGGAUGACGUCAAAUCAUCAUGGCCCUUACGCCCAGGGCUAGACACGUGCUACAAUGGUCGGUACAAUGGGAUGCGAACCUGCGAGGGCAAGCUAAUCCCAGAAACCGGGCCUCAGUCCGGAUUGGAGUCUGCAACUCGACUCCAUGAAGUUGGAAUCGC